rnacentral:rRNA from 1 species
AUUGACGGGUAUCAGCUCAUAGCGUAUAUUAAAGUUGUUGCAGUUAAAAAGCUCGUAGUUGAACCUUGGGUCUGGCUGGCCGGUCCGCCUCACCGCGAGUACUGGUCCGGCUGGACCUUUCCUUCUGGGGAACCUCAUGGCCUUCACUGGCUGUGGGGGGAACCAGGACUUUUACUGUGAAAAAAUUAGAGUGUUUAAAGCAGGCAAU